rnacentral:rRNA from 1 species
UACGUAGGGGGCGAGCGUUAUCCGGAUUCACUGGGUGUAAAGGGAGCGUAGACGGCCAUGCAGGCCAGGGGUGAAAGCCCGGGGCCCAACCCCGGGACUGCCCUUGGAACUGCAUGGCUGGAGUGCGGGAGGGGCAGGCGGAAUUCCUGGUGUAGCGGUGAAAUGCGUAGAUAUCAGGAGGAACACCGGCGGCGAAGGCGGCCUGCUGGACUGCGACUGACGUUGAGGCUCGAAAGCGUGGGGAGCGAGCAGG